GAAAGAGAAGGUAGAUAGCAUGGGAGGGGCCAUUAACAAGGCAGAUGUUCUCCAAACAAAUAAAAGCUCUGUAGGAAGGAGAGCUGCUCUGGUCAAUGUUUAAAAAUGCUCCGGGCUCCCCCGGCAUCUCUUCAGUGCAAGGACCCGUCUGACACUACUUAUGCCAGGUCCUGCCUCCCUCGCAGGAGAAGCAGUCUGCAACUUUUGCUGCUCUGGACAACACUUCAUCUCUGAGCAAGCAGAGCUCUGCGGAGUGGAUCUGGGGAGGCCCUGGACUGACGUGUCACCCCACUGGCCAUCUCAGUCAGGCGAAGUGGUACCUCGGUGUGUCGUCAUGUCUUGGCUGUAGGAUGAAGGCUCAACGAAGAUGAGGCAGAGCAUGAUCUAAGAGGAGGCCUGCAGUAUACUGGGAGAAAAAGGAGGC
rnacentral:lncRNA from 1 species